AGCGAACGCUGGCGGCAGGCUUAACACAUGCAAGUCGAACGGGCGUAGCAAUACGUCAGUGGCAGACGGGUGAGUAACGCGUGGGAACGUACCUUUUGGUUCGGAACAACCCAGGGAAACUUGGGCUAAUACCGGGAUAAGCCCUUACGGGGGAAAGAUUUAUCGCCGAAAGAUCGGCCCGCGUCUGAUUAGCUAGUUGGUGAGGUAACGGCUCACCAAGGCAACGAUCAGUAGCUGGUCUGAGAGGAUGAUCAGCCACAUUGGGACUGAGACACGGCCCAAACUCCUACGGGAGGCAGCAGUGGGGAAUAUUGGACAAUGGGCGCAAGCCUGAUCCAGCCAUGCCGCGUGAGUGAUGAAGGCCCUAAGGUUGUAAAGCUCUUUUGUGCGGGAAGAUAAUGACGGUACCGCAAGAAUAAGCCCCGGCUAACUUCGUGCCAGCCGCCGCAGUAAG
rnacentral:rRNA from 1 species